CCCCUAGACGUUCUGGGCUGCACGCGCGCUACAAUAAUACGCACAGCGAGUAUCACCGAGCUCGAAAGGGCAAGGUAAACAAUAGAAAAGGUACUGUAAUGGUUAUAGAUCCUUGUAAUUAUUGAUCUUCAACGAGGAAUUCCUAGUAAGUAUGUGUCAUCAUCACGCACUGAUUACGUCCCUGCCCUUUGUACACCCCGCCCGUCGCUCCUACCGAUUGGGUGAGCCGAUGAAACUCUCGGAUGUAGGCUAUUCAUAGCCCGCAGAAGAGAUUUGAAUCGUAGCGCUUAGAGGAAGGAGAAGUCGUAACA
rnacentral:rRNA from 1 species